rnacentral:rRNA from 1 species
AUUGAACGCUGGCGGCAGGCCUAACACAUGCAAGUCGAGCGAGCGGCGGACGGGUGAGGACUGUCUGUGAAACUGCCCGCUGGAGGGGGAUAACAACGGGAAACGCUAGCUAAUACCGCAUACAAUCAGCUUUGCCCAGAUGGGAGUAGCUAGUAGGUGGGGUAACGGCUCACCUAGACGCAGAUCCCUAGCUGGUCUGAGAGGAUGACCAGCCACACUGGAACGGAGACACGGUCCAGAGUCCUACGGGAGGCAGCAGUGGGGAAUAUUGCACAAGGGGCGCAAGCCUGAGGCAGCCAUGCCGCGUGUGUGAAGAAGGCCUUCGGGUUGUAAAGCACUUUCAGCGGGGAGGCGUUACCCGCAGAAGAAGCACCGGCUAACUCCGUGCCAGCAGCCGCGGUAAUAC